CCCUUAGAUGUUCUGGGCCGCACGCGCGCUACACUGAUGCAUUCAACGAGUUUCUUCCUGGUCCGAGAGGAAUGGGUAACCUUUUGAAAGUGCAUCGUGAUAGGGAUAGACUAUUGCAAUUAUUGGUCUUCAACGAGGAAUUCCUAGUAGACGUAGAUCAUCAGACUGCAUCGAUUACGUCCCUGCCCUUUGUACACACCGCCCGUCGCUCCUACCGAUUGAAUGCUCAGGUGAGCCAUUCGGACUUUCAUCAUGCUGGUUUCCAGUUUUGAUGAAGGAAAGUCUUGCGAACCUUAUCAUUUAGAGGAAGGAGAAGUCGUAACA
rnacentral:rRNA from 1 species